GACGAACGCUGGCGGCGUGCUUAACACAUGCAAGUCGAACGGAAAGGCCCUGCUUUUGUGGGGUGCUCGAGUGGCGAACGGGUGAGUAACACGCGAGUAACCUGCCCUUGACUUUGGGAUAACUUCAGGAAACUGGGGCUAAUACCGGAUAGGAGCUCCUGCUGCAUGGUGGGGGUUGGAAAGUUUCGGCGGUUGGGGAUGGACUCGCGGCUUAUCAGCUUGUUGGUGGGGUAGUGGCUUACCAAGGCUUUGACGGGUAGCCGGCCUGAGAGGGUGACCGGCCACAUUGGGACUGAGAUACGGCCCAGACUCCUACGGGAGGCAGCAGUGGGGAAUAUUGCGCAAUGGGCGGAAGCCUGAUGCAGCAACGCCGCGUGCGGGAUGACGGCCUUCGGGUUGUAAACCGCUUUCGCCUGUGACGAAGCGUGAGUGACGGUAAUGGGUAAAGAAGCACCGGCUAACUACGUG
rnacentral:rRNA from 1 species